rnacentral:rRNA from 1 species
UACGUAGGGAGCAAGCGUUGUUCGGAUUUACUGGGCGUAAAGGGCGCGUAGGCGGCAAAAUUAAGUCAGCUGUGAAAUCUCCGAGCUUAACUCGGAACGGUCAGCUGAUACUGAUCUGCUAGAGUGCGGAAGGGGCAAUCGGAAUUCUUGGUGUAGCGGUGAAAAUGCGUAGAUAUCGGGAGGAACACCGGUGGCGAAGGCGGUUCUCUGGGCCUUACCUGACGCUGAGGAGCGAAAGCGUGGGGAGCAAACAGG